rnacentral:rRNA from 1 species
UGAACGCUGGCGGUAUGCUUAACACAUGCAAGUCGAACGGAAACGAUACUAGCUUGCUAGUAGGCGUCGAGUGGCGGACGGGUGAGUAACGCGUAGGAAUCUGCCUGAUAGUGGGGGAUAGCCCGAAGAAAUUCGGAUUAAUACCGCAUAAUCUAUUCGUAGUAAAGUGGGGGACUUUCGAGCCUCACGCUAUCAGAUGAGCCUGCGUAAGAUUAGCUUGUUGGUAGGGUAAAAGCCUACCAAGGCGACGAUCUUUAGCUGGUCUGAGAGGAUGAUCAGCCACAUCGGGACUGAGACACGGCCCGAACUCCUACGGGAGGCAGCAGUGGGGAAUAUUGGACAAUGGGGGCAACCCUGAUCCAGCAAUACCGCGUGUGUGAAGAAGGCCUGAGGGUUGUAAAGCACUUUCAAUUGUGAAGAAAAGUUAGCGGUUAAUAACCGUUAGCCUUGACGUUAACUUUAGAAGAAGCACCGGCUAACUCCGUGCCAGCAGCCGCGGUAAUACGGAGGGUGCAAGCGUUAAUCGGAAUUACUGGGCGUAAAGCGUGCGUAGGCGGUUUAUUAAGUCAGAUGUGAAAGCCCCGGGCUUAACCUGGGAACUGCAUUUGAAACUGGUCAACUAGAGUAUGGUAGAGGAAAGUGGAAUUUCUGGUGUAGCGGUGAAAUGCGUAGAUAUCAGAAGGAACAUCAAUGGCGAAGGCAGCUUUCUGGACCAAUACUGACGCUGAGGUACGAAAGCGUGGGUAGCAAACAGGAUUAGAUACCCUGGUAGUCCACGCCGUAAACGAUGAUAACUAGCCGUUGGGGGGAUUUACCCUUUAGUGGCGAAGCUAACGCGUUAAGUUAUCCGCCUGGGGAGUACGGCCGCAAGGUUAAAACUCAAAGGAAUUGACGGGGACCCGCACAAGCGGUGGAGCAUGUGGUUUAAUUCGAUGCAACGCGAAGAACCUUACCUGGUCUUGACAUCCUGCGAACUUUCUAGAAAUAGAUUGGUGCCUUCGGGAACGCAGUGACAGGUGCUGCAUGGCUGUCGUCAGCUCGUGUCGUGAGAUGUUGGGUUAAGUCCCGUAACGAGCGCAACCCCUAUCCUUAUUUGCCAGCACAUCAUGGUGGGAACUAUAAGGAGACUGCCGGUGAUAAACCGGAGGAAGGCGGGGACGACGUCAAGUCAUCAUGGCCCUUACGACCAGGGCUACACACGUGCUACAAUGGGAAGGACAAAGAGCCGCGAAGCCGCGAGGUGUAGCUAAUCUCAUAAACCUUUUCGUAGUCCGGAUUGGAGUCUGCAACUCGACUCCAUGAAGUCGGAAUCGCUAGUAAUCGUAGAUCAGAAUGCUACGGUGAAUACGUUCCCGGGUCUUGUACACACCGCCCGUC